rnacentral:tRNA from 1 species
UCCCUGGUAGUUCAGUGGUUGAAGACGCUAUGCUUCCAAUACAGGAGCAUGGGUUUGAUCCCUUGCCAGGGAA